rnacentral:rRNA from 1 species
GACGAACGCUGGCGGCGUGCCUAAUACAUGCAAGUAGAACGCACAGUUUAUACCGUAGCUUGCUACACCAUAGACUGUGAGUUGCGAACGGGUGAGUAACGCGUAGGUAACCUGCCUGGUAGCGGGGGAUAACUAUUGGAAACGAUAGCUAAUACCGCAUAAUAUUAAUUAUUGCAUGAUAAUUAAUUGAAAGGUGCAAUUGCACCACUACCAGAUGGACCUGCGUUGUAUUAGCUAGUAGGUGAGGUAACGGCUCACCUAGGCGACGAUACAUAGCCGACCUGAGAGGGUGAUCGGCCAAACUGGGACUGAGACACGGCCCAGACUCCUACGGGAGGCAGCAGUAGGGAAUCUUCGGCAAUGGACGAAAGUCUGACCGAGCAACGCCGCGUGAGUGAAGAAGGUUUUCGGAUCGUAAAGCUCUGUUGUAAGAGAAGAACGGGUGUGAGAGUGGAAAGUUCACACUGUGACGGUAUCUUACCAGAAAGGGACGGCUAACUACGUG